GUAACAAGGUCUCCGUAGGUGAACCUGCGGAGGGAUCAUUACACAAAUAUGAAGGCGGGCUGGAACCUCUCGGGGUUACAGCCUUGCUGAAUUAUUCACCCUUGUCUUUUGCGUACUUCUUGUUUCCUUGGUGGGUUCGCCCACCACUAGGACAAACAUAAACCUUUUGUAAUUGCAAUCAGCGUCAGUAACAAAUUAAUAAUUACAACUUUCAACAACGGAUCUCUUGGUUCUGGCAUCGAUGAAGAACGCAGCGAAAUGCGAUAAGUAGUGUGAAUUGCAGAAUUCAGUGAAUCAUCGAAUCUUUGAACGCACAUUGCGCCCUUUGGUAUUCCAAAGGGCAUGCCUGUUCGAGCGUCAUUUGUACCCUCAAGCUUUGCUUGGUGUUGGGCGUCUUGUCUCUAGCUUUGCUGGAGACUCGCCUUAAAGUAAUUGGCAGCCGGCCUACUGGUUUCGGAGCGCAGCACAAGUCGCACUCUCUAUCAGCAAAGGUCUAGCAUCCAUUAAGCCUUUUUUUCAACUUUUGACCUCGGAU
rnacentral:rRNA from 1 species